rnacentral:rRNA from 1 species
CGUGCCCAGUCGUGGGGGAUAACGCAGUGAAAGCUGUGCUAAUACCGCAUACGAUCUCUGGAUGAAAGCGGGGGACUCGCAAGAGCCUCGCGCGAUUGGAGCGGCCGAUAUCAGAUUAGCUAGUUGGCGGGGUAAAAGCCCACCAAGGCGACGAUCUGUAGCUGGUCUGAGAGGACGACCAGCCACACUGGAACUGAGACACGGUCCAG